rnacentral:rRNA from 1 species
CCUACGUGAGGCUGCAGUAGGGAAUAUUGCUCACUGGGCGAAACCCUGAAGCAGCAACGCCGCGUGGAGGAUGACGGUUUUAUGAUUUGAAACUCCUUUUGUUAAAGAAGUUAAUGACGGUAUGUAUCGCAUAAUCACCGGCUACCACCGUUCCAGCCGGCGCGGUAAUACGGAGGGUGCCAGGUUUAUUCGGAAUAACUGGGCGUAAAGCGAGCGUAGGGGGGAUAGCAGGUCAGAUGUGAAAUUCUAUGGCUUAACCAGAGAAAUGCAUUUGAAACCGUGAUUCUUGAGUAUGGGAGAGGUAGGUGGAAUUAGUGGUGUAGGGGUAAAAUCCGUAGAGAUCAAGAGGAAUACUCAUUGCGAAGGCGAUUUGCUAGAAUAUAACUGACGCUGAUGCGCGAAAGCGUGGGGAGCAAACAGGAUUAGAUACCCUUGUAGUC